GACGAUUUGUUCCAGCCUAGACCUAGGCCUUCUAUUUUUAUUUAUAUUUUUUUAAUAUUCAGCGCUUUUUCACAUGAAAAGACUGGGAUAGUCCCAGUCUUUUCAUGUGAAAAAGCGCUGAAUAUUAAAAAAAUAUAAAUAAGACUAGAAGGCCUAGGUCUAGGCUGGAUUUGUUCGUC